rnacentral:lncRNA from 1 species
UUUACUUUUAAUUUUGCAAAGAACCCAGGACAAAAAGGAUUAGAUCUAGAAAUGGCCAUUGCUUACUGGAACUUAGUGCUUAAUGGAAGAUUUAAAUUCUUAGACUUAUGGAAUAAAUUUUUGUUGGAGCAUCAUAAACGAUCAAUACCAAAAGACACGUGGAAUCUUCUGUUAGACUUCAGUUCAAUGAUUGCAGAUGACAUGUCCAAUUACGAUGAAGAAGGAGCAUGGCCUGUUCUUAUUGAUGACUUUGUGGAAUUUGCACGCCCUCAAAUUUCUGGGACAAAAAGUACAACAGUGUAGCACUAAAGGAACCUUCUAGAAUGUACAUAGUCUGUACAAUAAACACAACGGAAAAAUGCACAGUCAAUUUCUGCUGGCUGGACUGAACUGAAGAUCAAUCCUCAUAGUUCAAACUGAGGGUUGAGACAAAACUUUAAGGAUACAUCUCGGACCUACCGUACUCCAUUCUUCUGCUGGUGGUUUGGGCUUGUCUUCUAGUCUGGGCCACUCUAAACAUUUAUAAUCCAACAUUGUGGAUUCCAUCUUAAACCUGUGGACCAUCUUAGUUUGUCUUCCCAUAAGUCAUAGACGCUUGAUGGGGAUUAUUUUGAGGUUUCCAUUCUUGCAUAAAGCACAAUGCUGUCUUCAUCAGAAAACAGUUUGGCAUAAGAAUUAAACAUAAUAAUGAACACCACAAACAAUUUAUAAAAACUUGUUAAGUAUAUGCUUUGGGCUAGUUGCAAAGACUAUGCUGUAGCACUUCAACUGAGAGUGUUAUCUGAGUGUACCGCAUCUGGAGUGGUGUUUGAUUUGGGGGAAUUUAGUUUUCCUGGCAAACCAUAUGCACUGUUGGUGUGAGUAGAAUACCUGAUAAAGACGUGUCAAAAUAACCAACACAUAAAAAAAGGAUAAUUUGAUGACUCCCUGAAAUAUGCCCUGUGUUUCAGACUCUCGCGAAGGUUCUACAAAACAAGUCUGUGGCUGUCUUACCCGUGUGUACACAGUGUCCUACAGUGAGCUUUGAUUUAAAGUAUUGUAAUGAGACGGAAUGUUAGACCCCACUCAUGUGCACCCAUACACCACAUCAUUGGAUUCCAUUACGCUUGGAGAGGCUUCUAUGCCUUUCGAAUAAGUUAAACUAUUUCAUUGGUUUUGAAUGUUUUGGAUUGCUAUACAAUAUAAUACUCUAAAUUUAGGCAUGAGGGUUUUAGGUUUGGGGUUUUUUUUGUUUUUGUUUUUGUUUUUUAAUUUUUUGUCAUCGCACAAUGGAACACAAUGCAAUUCACUUAAUUUAUAAGAAGACAGUAAGAUUUGAGUUCUUGGUAUUGUUUUCAGAUUGAUUGAUUCAGAUACGAUUUGUUUUCAAAUGAGACUCCAUUAGCUUCUUUCCCUGCCUCAUAAAUUUUUUUUUCAUAAAAAUCUUGAUAUUUGUGUGUGGCCUAAUGCUUUGGGUUUUACAGAUUUUAUUUUUAAAUGCAAGACUUUGGAACAAAAUAGUGAUUGUCAUCAGUUUGGCACUAAACAUUUACAAUUACUGUGUAAUUAUAAACAAAAAUAUAUAAAGCUUUUGAUUAUGUAGCAAAAAACGUUAAGGCUGUUCACAGUGAUGGCAUCUUAGAAUUAAAACCAUUGCUAGGGCUCAAACAAGAAAGUUGAUUUAAUGUGUUUAUUCUGAGGGUGAAUGUCUGGUUAUAGGGAAUGUUUUGUACUAAAAAUGCUUACCCUGCUGGGGGAGGGGCGUCGGUGAGUCUGAGAGAGAGGCCAUGUGCGUACACAGCGAGCUCUACUGCUUCAGUUCAUGGGGUCUUUGGGUGAGGUUUCCAAGCUGAUUACUUUCUUUUUUUAGACAGAGCCACAAGGAGAGUUUACUUUUUGCCAAAUGUCAUAACAGGUACACAUUUUUAAAUGUAAAGCUUUUUAAAUAGUAAAAUGUAUAAAAUGAGAAGUACCCACAUAUAAAAAUACUUGGUCAAGGUUCUCUUCAUCUGCAUAUCUCUGUAAGUUCAAGUGUGUCUUUCCAACCCCUGUCAUAUUACCCACGGAGGCAAUAAAAGCUUCAGUAAAUUUGCCAUGACU